rnacentral:rRNA from 1 species
UCCGGUUGAUCCUGCCGGACCCGACUGCUAUCAGAGUGGGACUAAGCCAUGCGAGUCAACGCCGCAAGGCGUGGCAUACGGCUCAGUAACACGUAGUCAACAUGCCCAAGGGACGUGGAUAACCUCGGGAAACUGAGGAUAAACCGCGAUAGGCCAAGAUUUCUGGAAUGGAUCAUGGCCGAAAUCUAUAUGGCCCUUGGAUUGGACUGCGGCCGAUCAGGCUGUUGGUGAGGUAAUGGCCCACCAAACCUAUAACCGGUACGGGCUUUGAGAGAAGGAGCCCGGAGAUGGGCACUGAGACAAGGGCCCAGGCCCUAUGGGGCGCAGCAGGCGCGAAAACUCUGCAAUAGGCGAAAGCUUGACAGGGUUACUCUGAGUGAUGCCCGCUAAGGGCAUCUUUUGGUACCUCUAAAAAUGGUGCAAAAUAAGGGGUGGGCAAGUCUGGUGUCAGCCGCCGCGGUAAUACCAGCACCCCGAGUGGUCGGGACGAUUAUUGGGCCUAAAGCAUCCGUAGCUUGUCCUGCAAGUCUUCCGUUAAAUCCACCUGCUCAACAGAUGGGCUGCGGGAGAUACUACAGGGCUAGGAGGCGGGAGAGGCAAGCGGUACUCAGUGGGUAGGGGUAAAAUCCUCUGAUCCACUGAAGACCACCAGUGG